ensembl:misc_RNA 7SK 7SK RNA
UGAUGUCAGAACAAUCUGGCUGUGAUGACAUCUGUCAUCCUAAUGAUUGCCAGGAUUGAUUUGGUUGAUCUGUCUGGCUGGGUGGGUGUCUCCUUCCUCCCUCACCAUUCCAUGUGUUCCCCUCCCAAAGCUGAACAUAGGUCAAAGAGGACAACUUGCCGUGAUAGAGGAAGAUCAUUCUUCCAAUACCUGUGCUCUCCUGCUAGAACCUACAAACAAGCUCUCAAGGUCCAUUUGUAGGAGAAGGUAGGGUAGUUAAGCUUCUAAGGCUCCAGACACGUUCAAAUGAGGCGCUGUAGGUGGCAGUCUGCCUUUCUUA